AUCGCUUCUCGGCCUUUUGGCUAAGAUCAAGUGUAGUAUUUGUUCUUAUCAGUUUAAUAUCUGAUAGGCCCCCUAUCUGGGGGCCAUAUAUUAAAUGGAUUUUUAGAACAGAGAGAUGGAAGAAGAGCUUGCUCUGUCCACUCCACACAUUGACCUGGUAUUGCAGUACCUCCAGGACCGGUGCACCGGGG
ensembl:snRNA U2 U2 spliceosomal RNA